CGGGACACGUGGUAUCCUGUCUGAAUAUGGGGGGACCAUCCUCCAAGGCUAAAUACUCCUGACUGACCGAUAGUGAACCAGUACCGUGAGGGAAAGGCGAAAAGAACCCCGGCGAGGGGAGUGAAAAAGAACCUGAAACCGUGUACGUACAAGCAGUGGGAGCACGCUUAGGCGUGUGACUGCGUACCUUUUGUAUAAUGGGUCAGCGACUUAUAUUCUGUAGCAAGGUUAACCGAAUAGGGGAGCCGAAGGGAAACCGAGUCUUAACUGGGCGUUAAGUUGCAGGGUAUAGACCCGAAACCCGGUGAUCUAGCCAUGGGCAGGUUGAAGGUUGGGUAACACUAACUGGAGGACCGAACCGACUAAUGUUGAAAAAUUAGCGGAUGACUUGUGGCUGGGGGUGAAAGGCCAAUCAAACCGGGAGAUAGCUGGUUCUCCCCGAAAGCUAUUUAGGUAGCGCCUCGUGAAUUCAUCUCCGGGGGUAGAGCACUGUUUCGGCAAGGGGGUCAUCCCGACUUACCAACCCGAUGCAAACUGCGAAUACCGGAGAAUGUUAUCACGGGAGACACACGGCGGGUGCUAACGUCCGUCGUGAAGAGGGAAACAACCCAGACCGCCAGCUAAGGUCCCAAAGUCAUGGUUAAGUGGGAAACGAUGUGGGAAGGCCCAGACAGCCAGGAUGUUGGCUUAGAAGCAGCCAUCAUUUAAAGAAAGCGUAAUAGCUCACUGGUCGAGUCGGCCUGCGCGGAAGAUGUAACGGGGCUAAACCAUGCACCGAAGCUGCGGCAGCGACGCUUAUGCGUUGUUGGGUAGGGGAGCGUUCUGUAAGCCUGUGAA
rnacentral:rRNA from 1 species